rnacentral:rRNA from 1 species
GUGGGGAAUUUUGGACAAUGGGCGCAAGCCUGAUCCAGCAAUGCCGCGUGUGUGAAGAAGGCCUUCGGGUUGUAAAGCACUUUUGGCAGGAAAGAAAUAGCGCGUGCUAAUACCAUGCGCGAAUGACGGUACCUGCAGAAUAAGCACCGGCUAACUACGUGCCAGCAGCCGCGGUAAGACGUAGGGUGCAAGCGUUAAUCGGAAUUACUGGGCGUAAAGCGCACGUAGGCUGUAGUGUAAGUCAGGGGUGAAAUCCCACGGCUCAACCGUGGAACUGCCUUUGAUACUGCACAACUUGAAUCCGGGAGAGGGGGAUGGAAUUCCGCGUGUAGCAGUGAAAUGCGUAGAUAUGCGGUGGAACACCGAUGGCGAAGGCAAUCCCCUGGGCCUGCACUGACGCUCAUGCACAAAAGCGUGGGGAGCAAACAGGAUUAGAUACCCGAGUAGUCC